rnacentral:rRNA from 1 species
AUGGGAGCUUUCCCUCUUACUACGGGGCGUUUACCUAGCCAACACUUAGAUGCGGCUCUACCCAAACUUUUUUGGUUCACCCCAACAUUAGUGAACUCGCGCCGCCACCACUGCCCCCGUACUGCCUGCAGCACGAGUUUGGACCGUGCCCAGCGCGUACAGGUGCACAACCGCGGCUGCCGUCACCGACGCCGUCGGAUGAACUGCCGGAGCACUUCUUCCCUCCUGGAUACGGUCCUGUCCCGGAUCUCCCGUCUCCGACGCCGGCAGCAGUGGAAGUCCACGCCUACUCCACCGUCCCCGAUCUGA